CAAGAGCGUAUAUUAAAGUUGCUGCGGUUAAAAAGCUCGUAGUUGGAUUUCAGUCUAGGAAGGUUAACUCGCCGAAAGGUUGUACGUUGAUUUUCCUCAGACUUCGUCAGAAGCUCGUGCUGCACUUAACUGUGUGGUACGAUGUUCUGACCUUUUACCUUGAGGAAGGUAGAGUGUUUCAGGCAGGCUACCCAGCUUGAAUACAUUAGCAUGGAAUAAUGAAAUGGAUCUCGGUUCGAUUUCGUUGGUUCUAGAGCUGAGGUGAUGAUCAAUAGGAACAGGCGAAGGUAUUCGUACUUGAGAGUGAGGAGUGAAAUCCGAUGAUCUCUUAAAGACGAUCCGAGGCGAAAGCAUUUGUCAAGGAUGUUUUCAUUGA
rnacentral:rRNA from 1 species